UACGGGGGGAGCAAGCGUUGUUCGGAUUUACUGGGCGUAAAGGGCGCGUAGGCGGUCAGCACAAGUCAGUUGUGAAAUCUCCGGGCUUAACUCGGAAAGGUCAACUGAUACUGUGCGACUAGAGUGCAGAAGGGGCAACUGGAAUUCUCGGUGUAGCGGGGAAAUGCGUAGAUAUCAAGAGGAACACCUGCGGCGAAGGCGGGUUGCUGGGCCGACACUGACGCUGAAGCGCGAAAGCCAGGGGAGCGAACGGG
rnacentral:rRNA from 1 species